rnacentral:rRNA from 1 species
GCAAGUCUGGUGCCAGCAGCCGCGGUAAUUCCAGCUCCAAUAGCGUAUAUUAAAGUUGUUGUGGUUAAAAAGCUCGUAGUAGAAGCUCGGGCUCCGGCCGACCGGUCCGCCUCACCGCGUGCACUGGUUCGGCCGGGCCUUCACCUUCUGCGGAACCGCAUCCCCUUCACUGGGGGUGUCGGGGAAACAGGACGUUUACUGUGAAAAAAUUAGAGUGUUCCAGGCAGGCCUAUGCUCGAAUAGAUUAGCAUGGAAUAAUGGAAUAGGACGUGUGGUCUUAUUUCGUUGGUUUCUAGGACCGCCGUAAUGAUUAAUAGGGACAGUCGGGGGCAUCAGUAUUCAAUCGUCAGAGGUGAAAUUCUUGGAUCGAUUGAAGACUAACUACUGCGAAAGCAUUUGCCAA